CGACUCUUUCCGUGAAAGAAGUGUUGAAAAUGACUUAUUGUGGCCGCGACUGGCUCCGAGGGGCAAGAACAGCUCCAGAUCUGAAGCAUCUGUUUAACAGUGAACUUCUGGAUGAGUUUGACUCUAUCCGCCUUUGGCUCCAUCUGAUCCGGACUGCCAUCCUCCGCGAAAAUGAGGUGACUGAGAACAAGAGAGGCAAGA